CUAACUGCAACACCAUAGUUCAGGUACUGUGUGGGAGUUUCUUCUAGAGUAUACAAGUCACUUGCUGAUAAGUUUACAGACUGAGCUUAGGCCUGCGUUUGGACAUUAUAAUAACAAUAAUGAAAAUCAAGAAGCUCAAUCAGGAAGCAGUGAGGUUUUAAAAAAAAAAAUAAACCUGUGAAAUCAAAUUAUUCCAACUGAUGGGACCACCCGAUUUCUCUAUUAAAGGUUUCAAUAUUUUGACUAAGAUGAUUUAUUUCAAUAUAUUUAUUUUAGUGAUGAUUUAUGAAUUAUUACCAUAUUUUAAGAAGUUUACCAAAAAUAUAAAUCAACAUUAAAUGUAAUGUAUUAGUUAUUGCCAUAUUUUAUAAAGUUUACCAAAAAUAUAUGUCAGUAAUAAAUGUGAUUGUCUAUGUCAUAUUAACUAUAAGCCAUGUCAUCAAUCUUGUUAGCCAUGUCAUCAUUGUUAUUGUAAAAAUGAUUAUAGAGAGGACAUGUGGCAAAAUCACUUUGCAAAUAUAGUCUAGGGGAUUAAACAGACGUUAAGCAUCCGGUUUAACAUGUAUUCAGGUUAAGCAGCCGGUUUCCUGCAUCGUCGUAGCCACUAUGGUUGGAUUUGGACUCACCAUGUCUGGCACAUCGGUUAUUACAGUGUUUAUGGAAUGGAGGAGAAUUCAUUCUCAUCACCAGCCAUCAAGCACUCAGGUGGCUACACCACCGUUUCAGACAACAGAUCAGUAGGAGAUUCUAAAUUGGAUUGAAAACUAUAAACUACUCGCUUCUUACCGAUUACUACUUUGACAUUUUCCACAUAGAUUAAAAAAAAUGAUUGAAAUAUAUUUAUAUUCGUAUUAAUUAUACAUGAUUGAUCAAUAGUAUUUGAGAUAAAUAAAAUUUAAUUUUAAAAUCUUAUAAUUUAAUUAAAAUUUCUAAAUAACACUUUAUUUAACAAAAAAUGUUAAAAUAACAUUAAUCUGAAAGAGACUCUGAGCCUCGAACCCAACCCGGUUAACUCGGGUCGUCUUCUCGUCGCAUUCACGUUUGAUGCACUCCUCUCCGGAAGGUUUAAUUUUUUUUCCCACUUGCGUUUGUUCUUGUUGUAAAGUCAGUCUUUUAUUGAAUAUUAGUUAACCCUAUGUUUUUGGGGGAGAACACAAAGAUCACGUCACUUUUUUUGCAAAAGAAAGCGAAGAGUUCUAGCUCGCAGCAACAAAGGCACACUUUGACGAAGAUUGAGUUACAAGGGUGUCUAGUCUUCCUAAAAAAACAGAUAUACUGAGAAGAAGAUAAAAGGCAAAGGCGAGAUUGAGUUACAUAGUCUUCCCAAAAUUGUUAAACAAACACUCCUCUGGCUCUCAGAGAUUGAAGAAUGUUGAUGCAGUCUGGUUUGAGGUUCCAAAAACUCUUAAAUAUCUAAAUUGCCUAAAUGUAUAAAAAUUAAUAAAUUUAACUAUUUCAGAUAUUUUUGAAUCAUAGUUCAGAUUUUUGGUUUAGUUUGGAUGGUACCCGAACAUGAAAGUACUAAGCUCUUAAAUCCUAUUCAGAUAUUUUUGUAUAAUGGUUUGAAUGGAGUCUCGGUUUUUCGGUUCGAAUUAAGGUCGGAACUUUGGUUUGGGAUAAAAUCGCCUAUGCCUAUUUGUAUCUUUGUUUUUUUUACCACAUUACAUGUUUUGUUCCUCAUUCUUGAAUCUUGGUUGUAUUCUAGUUCAAACCCUUUUGCAUUGAAAAUUAUCAACGAUCUUUUAUAUAAUCAUAAUCCAGGAUUUAAGAUCUUAUCGUUAUCUAAAAUUUUUAUGCAAAUAUUUUGUUGUAUAAUUGGUGGGAUACUUUCUAUAAUCAAACAUUACAAAAUUAGAAUAUCAAAGAAAAAAAAGCAAAUUUUGACUUUGACUGAUAUUAGUCCCGCCAAAGUCAAACUUUACAUAAAUGUUUUACACCAACCACAUAACACAAUUAAUAUAAAAGCCGAACUUUGCUUUCAUCGCAGAAAGACACCACUUUUUGAGUCUUACAUCACUCAGUCAUGGGGAAUAUCUUCUGCUGCUGCACCAGAGGAUGGGGAAGCAAUGUUCCUUCGGCGACGGAAACAACUACUGUUCAACCAAGAUCACAUUCACAGAGUGUAGUUAAUCAAUCUGUAUCCACAGGCUCGAGGUCGUAUUAUUCGGCCCAUUCUUCCCCCAGAACAGAGUCGUAUCGUGGCGGAGCAAGGUGAGAUUAAGUCAAGUGUGAUGAAGCAGUUGUUAUUGGUGAAUGAGACCAGUUAUAAGUUGUAGGACAUUUAAUAAUAUCCAAACUUUAUGACAUGUAAUGUAAUAUUAUGCAACUUUGUGAUCAUACUCUUACUUUUAUUUUAUACAAUCCUUAUAUAUUUCCUCUCUUAAAGUGCAUUGCUUCUUAUUUUUUAGUAGACAUAAAACAGCAAAGAAGAUAAGACAAAGGCAAAGGCUACAUUCAUUAUAUUCUCAGGCCGCUUAAACACCAAUAUUGAAAACUAACUUUGACAUGUUACGAGUUACGACCACCUACUUACUAGCAAAAAUGAUAAAUACAUGGCUGUAAAUAAAGAUACAUACACCACGUACGACACGUUGACAAAAAGUAUUAAGAAUCUAUGUUUAAAAAGUAGUAUAUUGUGACCCAAAAAAAAAGUAAUAGUAUAUAACUUAAUAUGGACAAAAAUCCAAACCCAAAUCUACGCUUAUUAAAGAGAAACGGUGGGGGCAUUCACUGAACCAAUGGAUGUCAAGACCAUACAUGAUUGAAGAUUUGUCACCAUUUUAACUCAAAAUGGUCCGACAGAUUCAUCCUUUUUACUAUUUAAACUGUCUUGUUUCUGGGUUUAGUUACUUUUGAACUAGGAUGAUGGAUGGUGAUCAAGAUACAACUCGUCGACGUAGAAGAACAUGAUGAUGGUUCCUGCCAAGAUGUUUAUCCUGCUGUAAUGAAUGGAGUUUCUACUGAGAUUUCUGAAGAGAUAUAACCAAGCCAACACGAAAGAUGGCGAGACCUUGUGUUUGAUAUACAGUUUAGAGCACAAGAAGACGAUUUCCUGACGGCAAAUGGUUCAUUUACUCCUACUCCUAGUACAGACUGGUUGGGCUGACUUUGGUUAGCUAUUGUGUGAACUCGUGCCUACAGACGUGACGCUUGUGCCCAACUGUCUUUUUUUAACUUUUAUAACUAGUUUAUAUUUUUUUCAUGGUAGACAGUUUAAAAAAGUUUGGUGGAUGUUAAUUUUUUUAAUCUAAGAUAAAAAUGUAUUUAAAUGUAUAAAUUGAUUAGAACAAUUGUAAAAAUCUUUAACU